ACCCUUUAAUGUUUGAUGUUCUAACGUGGACCCGUGAUCCGGGUUGCGGACAGUGUCUGGUGGGUAGUUUGACUGGGGCGGUCUCCUCCUAAAGAGUAACGGAGGAGCACGAAGGUUGGCUAAUCCUGGUCGGACAUCAGGAGGUUAGUGCAAUGGCAUAAGCCAGCUUGACUGCGAGCGUGACGGCGCGAGCAGGUGCGAAAGCAGGUCAUAGUGAUCCGGUGGUUCUGAAUGGAAGGGCCAUCGCUCAACGGAUAAAAGGUACUCCGGGGAUAACAGGCUGAUACCGCCCAAGAGUUCAUAUCGACGGCGGUGUUUGGCACCUCGAUGUCGGCUCAUCACAUCCUGGGGCUGAAGUAGGUCCCAAGGGUAUGGCUGUUCGCCAUUUAAAGUGGUACGCGAGCUGGGUUUAGAACGUCGUGAGACAGUUCGGUCCCUAUCUGCCGUGGGCGCUGGAGAACUGAGGGGGGCUGCUCCUAGUACGAGAGGACCGGAGUGGACGCAUCACUGGUGUUCGGGUUGUCAUGCCAAUGGCACUGCCCGGUAGCUAAAUGCGGAAGAGAUAAGUGCUGAAAGCAUCUAAGCACGAAACUUGCCCCGAGAUGAGUUCUCCCUGAGACUUAGAGUCUCCUGAAGGAACGUUGAAGACGACGACGUUGAUAGGCCGGGUGUGUAAGCGCAGCGAUGCGUUGAGCUAACCGGUACUAAUGAACCGUGAGGCUUAACCUUACA
rnacentral:rRNA from 5 species